AGUGAAUGCUGGCGGUAGGCCUAACACAUGCCAGUCGAACGGCAGCACAGUAAGAGCUUGCUCUUACGGGUGGCGAGUGGCGGACGGGUGAGGAAUACAUCGGAAUCUACUUUUUCGUGGGGGAUAACGUAGGGAAACUUACGCUAAUACCGCAUACGACCUACGGGUGAAAGCAGGGGAUCUUCGGACCUUGCGCGAUUGAAUGAGCCGAUGUCGGAUUAGCUAGUUGGCGGGGUAAAGGCCCACCAAGGCGACGAUCCGUAGCUGGUCUGAGAGGAUGAUCAGCCACACUGGAACUGAGACACGGUCCAGACUCCUACGGGAGGCAGCAGUGGGGAAUAUUGGACAAUGGGCCCAAGCCUGAUCCAGCCAUACCGCGUGGGUGAAGAAGGCCUUCGGGUUGUAAAGCCCUUUUGUUGGGAAAGAAAAGCAGCAGGUUAAUACCCCGCUGUUCUGACGGUACCCAAAGAAUAAGCACCGGCUAACUUCGUG
rnacentral:rRNA from 1 species